UACGAAGGUGGCAAGCGUUGUUCGGAUUUACUGGGCGUAAAGGGCGCGUAGGCGGCAAUUCAAGUCAUCUGUGAAAUCUCCGGGCUUAACCCGGAACGGUCAGGUGAUACUGUUUUGCUAGAGUGCGGAAGGGGCAAUCGGAAUUCUCGGUGUAGCGGUGAAAUGCGUAGAUAUCGAGAGGAACACCAGAGGUGAAGACGGGUUGCUGGGCCGACACUGACGCUGACAGCGCGAAAGCCAGGGGAGCAAACGGG
rnacentral:rRNA from 1 species